rnacentral:rRNA from 1 species
UACGUAGGGCGCAAGCGUUUGUCCGGAAUUACUGGGCGUAAAGGGCGCGUAGGCGGCCUGGCAAGUCGGGUGUGAAAGCCCGGGGGCUCAACUGGGGGAGGGUCACGCGAUACUGAUCGACUCGAAGGCAGGAGAGGGUAGUGGAAUUCCCGGUGUAGUGGUGAAAUGCGUAGAUAUGCGGAGGAACACCGAUGGCGAAGGCAGGUCUCGUGGGCCACUACUGACGCUGAGAAGCGAAAGCAUGGGGAGCGAAGAGG